GAUGAACGCUGGCGGCGUGCCUAAUACAUGCAAGUCGAGCGAACAGAUGAGGAGCUUGCUCCUCUGACGUUAGCGGCGGACGGGUGAGUAACACGUGGAUAACCUACCUAUAAGACUGGGAUAACUUCGGGAAACCGGAGCUAAUACCGGAUAAUAUAUUGAACCGCAUGGUUCAAUAGUGAAAGACGGUUUUGCUGUCACUUAUAGAUGGAUCCGCGCCGCAUUAGCUAGUUGGUAAGGUAACGGCUUACCAAGGCAACGAUGCGUAGCCGACCUGAGAGGGUGAUAGGCCACACUGGAACUGAGACACGGUCCAGACUCCUACGGGAGGCAGCAGUAGGGAAUCUGCCGCAAUGGGCGAAAGCCUGACGGAGCAACGCCGCGUGAGUGAUGAAGGUCUUCGGAUCGUAAAACUCUGUUAUUAGGGAAGAACAAAUGUGUAAGUAACUAUGCACGUCUUGACGGUACCUAAUCAGAAAGCCACGGCUAACUACGUG
rnacentral:rRNA from 1 species